rnacentral:misc_RNA from 1 species
UGUUAGAGCGCACCCCUGAUAAGGGUGAGGUCCCUGGUUCGAGUCCAGGAUGGCCCACCUCCAGCUCUUUCCCAUUCCAGACAACAGCUCCUUCACCUGCCUGUCCAGGCAAGGAAGAAAGCUGGAUGUCUCAUCCAGUGUUGAACCUUGAAAACUGCAUAGCAACAUGUCAGGUAGGAAAGUUUUCUAGCUAAUCGCUAGAAAGCAGCUAUCCAACAACAGCCAAGAAAAAAGU